rnacentral:SRP_RNA from 1 species
GUUGGGCACUGUGGCACGUGCCUGUAGUCCCAACUACUCAGGAGGCUGAGGUGGGAGGAUCGCUUGAGCCCAGGAGUUCUGGACUGUAGUGUGCUAUGCCAAUGGGGUGUCCGCACAAAGUUCAGCAUCAGUAUGGGGACCUCCUGGGAGCCGGGGACCACCAGGUUGCCUAAAGAGAGGUGAACCAGCACAGGUCAGAAAUGAAGCAGGUCAAAACUCCAGUGCUGAUCAGUAGUGGGAUCACACCUGUGAAUAGCUACUGCACUCCAGCCUGGGCAAUAUAGAGAGAUCCCAUCUCU